CGAAAGGACCUUACCUACCCUUGACAUGGUCGGAAUCCUGAAGAGAUUCGGGAGUGCUCGAAAGAGAACCGGCGCACAGGUGCUGCAUGGCUGUCGUCAGCUCGUGUCGUGAGAUGUUGGGUUAAGUCCCGCAACGAGCGCAACCCUUGUCCUUAGUUGCUACGCAAGAGCACUCUAAGGAGACUGCCGGUGACAAACCGGAGGAAGGUGGGGAUGACGUCAAGUCCUCAUGGCCCUUAUGGGUAGGGCUUCACACGUCAUACAAUGGUCGGAACAGAGGGUUGCCAACCCGCGAGGGGGAGCUAAUCCCAGAAAACCGUUCUAGUCCGGAUUGCACUCUGCAACUCGAGUGCAUGAAGCUGGAAUCGCUAGUAAUCGC
rnacentral:rRNA from 1 species